AUGAGUUUGGUCUUCGAACGAUUCGGCUACCCGGUCAAGUAUGGAAAGGUGUGGAUGGCCAAGGCAAACGCUAUAAGGAUGUUGCAUGGUGAUUAUGUUGUCGCGUACAACAUUCUUCCGAGAAUGUUGGGAGCCAUUGCUCAUCGGAAUCCGGGCAUGCGUCAUAGGGUCGAGUCAAUCGAGGGAGUGUUUCAUCGAGCUUUUUGGAGCUUUGGGCAAUGCAUCGAUGCAUUUAGGCAUUGCCGCCCCGUCUUGUCAAUUGAUGGCAUGUUCUUGACCGGAAAGUACAAGGGCACGUUGACGGUAGCAAUGGCUCACUCAUCCAAUGACAAUGUGUUGCCGGUGGCAUUUGCGUUGGUGCCUUCCGAGCACGAUGAUAAUUGGGAGUGGUUUAUGGAUCAUGUGAGGACGAAGGUGAUUGGCCCCAAAAGAGAGGUGUGCAUCAUAUCGGAUCGCCAUCAUGGGAUUCUCAAAGCAAUAGAAGUUAACAUUCCAGUCUAUCCAAAGCUCCAACACCGUUGGUGCAUGAGGCAUUUUGUGGCAAACUUUUACCAUGCAUGCAAGAGUAAGGAGUUUUGCAAAGAUCUUACCCAUGUUUGUGUGGCAUUCAACGCCGACACAUUCCAAAGCCGCUAUGAUAAGCUAUUCAAGGCGUUGGAGAAGAACAAAGGAGGGAGAGAAUUCUUGACAAGGCAUUUUCCGGAGAAGCAUAAGUGGUCACGUGCUUACGACGAAGGAGGUCUCCGAUACGGAGACAUGACAAGUAACAUGGUGGAAUGCUUCAACAAUGUGCUCAAGGGUGUCCGUUCCUUGCCGGUCACUGCAGAAAUAUACCUUCUUCAAGCUCAACGAGUAUUUUCUGAGGCAUUCCGAAGAGACGGCCAAAUGGAUAGGUGA
rnacentral:rRNA from 1 species